UACGAAGGGGGCUAGCGUUGCUCGGAAUCACUGGGCGUAAAGCGCACGUAGGCGGCUUUCUAAGUCAGGGGUGAAAUCCUGGAGCUCAACUCCAGAACUGCCUUUGAUACUGGAGAGCUUGAGUCCGGAAGAGGUGAGUGGAACUCCGAGUGUAGAGGUGAAAUUCGUAGAUAUUACGGAAGAACACCAGUGGCGAAGGCGGCUCACUGGUCCGGUACUGACGCUGAUGUGCGAAACGUGGGGAGCAAACAGG
rnacentral:rRNA from 1 species